UUCUACUCUUGAGUCAACCAUUCCUAACGUAAUGCUUGUUCGAUGCGAGUCGUUUGUGAUUCUCUGGAAUUAAAUUAAUAUUUCUAGAAGUUGCUACAUUAGUGCAUACCUAAUUAAUAUUGAAAUUUCCUAUUUUUUUAUUUUUUUGCGCAGCAAGAUUGUCUAUUCGUCGUGCAAUUGAUUUGAUCAAUGAAUGGGAAUGUUAAAAAUACCAUUACGAUUGAAAAUAUCAACACGAAUGUGCUGUGGCUGUGGCUGUGGCAGCUCGCAGGCCAAUGUUUCACUAGUAUCGUCGGUCUUCCGACACUGACACACGAAAAACGACACAGAACACAGCACGGUAAAAGAUAUAGACCUACCAGCAGCGUUUAUUAGCAAGGAGCGCCGUCGCCGCCGCCUCCUGGGCGCGGGCGGCGGCGACGGCUGCGGGAGCUCCUCCUCGGAGCUGGAGCGCUGGGACUCCCGCUCGGGCUCCGUCACAGGGAG